rnacentral:lncRNA from 1 species
CACAGAAUUAGGUCAUUUAGAAAUGGUAUUUACAUUAUUACCACAUUACUAUUGAUUGAGAUGGAAAGUCUUCAUUAUAUAGUGUGUUAGUUAUAUAUCACACAAUGAAGUAUAUCUUUUAGAAAUGAAAAUAGUUGUAGAUUUAAUUAAAGAAAAAAGUGUGUUUCACUGGAAACUUUAGACUAUCCUAUUAGCAAUGUGUUUCUGGAAAGAAAUGAGCAAAAUUGUCACAU